CGCGUAGGCGGUUUUUUAAGUCAGAGGUGAAAGCCCGGGGCUCAACCCCGGAAUUGCCUUUGAAACUGGAAAACUAGAAUCUUGGAGAGGUCAGUGGAAUUCCGAGUGUAGAGGUGAAAUUCGUAGAUAUUCGGAAGAACACCAGUGGCGAAGGCGACUGACUGGACAAGUAUUGACGCUGAGGUGCGAAAGCGUGGGGAGCAAACA
rnacentral:rRNA from 1 species